GACGAACGCUGGCGGCGUGCCUAAUACAUGCAAGUAGAACGCACAGUUUAUACCGUAGCUUGCUACACCAUAAACUGUGAGUUGCGAACGGGUGAGUAACGCGUAGGUAACCUGCCUGGUAGCGGGGGAUAACUAUUGGAAACGAUAGCUAAUACCGCAUAAUAUUAAUUAUUGCAUGAUAAUUGAUUGAAAGAUGCAAUUGCAUCACUACCAGAUGGACCUGCGUUGUAUUAGCUAGUAGGUGAGGUAACGGCUCACCUAGGCGACGAUACAUAGCCGACCUGAGAGGGUGAGCGGCCACACUGGGACUGAGACACGGCCCAGACUCCUACGGGAGGCAGCAGUAGGGAAUCGUCGGCAAUGGACGAAAGUCUGACCGAGCAACGCCGCGUGAGUGAAGAAGGUUUUCGGAUCGUAAAGCUCUGUUGUAAGAGAAGAACGGGUGUGAGAGUGGAAAGUUCACACUGUGACGGUAUCUUACCAGAAAGGGACGGCUAACUACGUG
rnacentral:rRNA from 1 species